UACAGAGGUCCCAAGCGUUGUUCGGAUUCACUGGGCGUAAAGGGUGCGUAGGCGGUCGGGUAAGUCUGAUGUGAAAUCUCACAGCUUAACUGUGAAACUGCAUUGGAUACUAUCCGGCUAGAGGAAUGGAGGGGAGACUGGAAUACUUGGUGUAGCAGUGAAAUGCGUAGAUAUCAGGAGGAACACCUGUGGCGAAAGCGGCUCACUGGACCAUAACUGACGCUGAUGCACGAAAGCUAGGGGAGCAAACAGG
rnacentral:rRNA from 1 species